rnacentral:rRNA from 1 species
UCUAUUUGAAGAUAUAAAAAGUCUAACCUGCCCACUGAUAAAUAGUAGUUAAAGGGCCGCGGUAUUAUGACCGUGCAAAGGUAGCAUAAUCAUUAGGUUUUUAAAUGAGAUCUUGUAUGAAUGGUUGGACAAGAGAGAAGCUGUCUCUAGAAGUAGUAUUUGAAUUUAACUUUUAAGUGAGAAGGCUUAAAUAAUCUAAUGGGACGAGAAGACCCUAUAAAGCUUUACAUUUAAAUUAUAUUUAAUUAAAUUUAGGUUAAUAAAAGUUUAAUAUAUUUAUUAUGUUAUGUUGGGGAGAUAUAAGUAAAAAUUAUGGUAACUGCUUUUUUAAAAAACAGUUAAAAAUUGGUAAUAUUAAAGGGUCCUUGGUAUGGAUUAAAAGAUUAAGUUACUUUAGGGAUAACAGUGUUAUUUUUUUUGAGAGUUCAUAUCGAAAAAAAAGUUUGCAACCUCGAUGUUGAAUUAAAAUAUCUAUAUAAUGUAGUCGUUAUAUAAGAAGGUCUGUUCGACCUUUAAAAU